rnacentral:rRNA from 1 species
CUCCCUCGUUGCUGAUCUCAGGUUCGAUAAUGCCAGAUCGCACCACCUCGCCUAAAACCAACUUCGAUGAAGCGACGGGCGGUGUGUG